AUUGAACGCUGGCGGCAUGCCUUACACAUGCAAGUCGAACGGCAGCACGGGAGAAAUCCUGGUGGCGAGUGGCGAACGGGUGAGUAACAUAUCGGAACGUGCCCAAUCAGUGGGGGAUAGCCCGGCGAAAGCCGGAUUAAUACCGCUAUACGACCUACGGGUGAAAGCAGGGGACCGCAAGACCUUGCGCUAUUGGAGCGGCCGAUAUCAGAUUAGCUUGUUGGGGGGUAAGAGCCUACCAAGGCGACGAUCUGUAGCUGGUCUGAGAGGACGACCAGCCACACUGGGACUGAGACACGGGCCCAGACUCCUACGGGAGGCAGCAGUGGGGAAUUUUGGACAAU
rnacentral:rRNA from 1 species